rnacentral:tRNA from 1 species
GGCCUCGUAGCUCAGCUGGAUAGAGCAUCUGACUUCGGAUCAGACGGUCAGGGGUUCGAAUCCCUUCGAGGUCG